AAUGCAAUUCCCAAAUUGAAAUCGCGACCGUUAACACACACACUGUCUUAUGAACAUACCCACACUAAAUCCAUCCACUGGCUCUUCUCUCUCUAAUUUCCCCCAAAUAAACAAAGCCCUAAUUUUCUCUCUCUUAAUCGUCCAAUUUUCGGCAUUUUCCAUCAAUUUUACCCUUCAAUUUCACUAUUGAAUACGAAAUUGGGGUGUUCUAAUUGAAGGUAAAAUCAGUUUUCGUUGGAAUUAUUCUAGCUGAAACUGAACCUAAUUCUUCAGAUUCACUGGUGUUUCUGUUCGUCUUCACGGCAAAAAAAAUGGGCAGGAAGGUAAGACGAUGAGGUAUUCGAGAAGACCCAUGUAAGGAAGAAAAAAAAUUCAACUGAUGAAGAUGUCUGGGUUGAAUCUCGUGCAAAAGCUACCCAUGACAAAUAUAUGCAGCUCGGUAAUGAGUAUCGUAGUACUCAGCCUCCUGAAAGUCCGGGUGACACAAUACCUAAAGAUGUAGAGGAGUUAUGGAAAGAAACUGUGGGUCCUCCAGUUAGAGGCCAAUACUAUGGAUACCACAGAAAAUGUUUUAGCGAGAAUAUUAGGUCUUCGUUCGGCCCUACAUUCUAUCUCUCAUCAGUUUAUAGAGAAACCGUUGAAUCACUAAAAAAUGCUAUUUUUAAACUCACUGAAGAGCUUGCUGCAUAUAGAAAGAGGGCGAAGCAGAAGGAGGAAGCAACAUCACAAAUCAGGAUGCUGCAACAAUAGUUCAACUUUUUUAUUUGAUCUGCAGGGAUUUCCUCCUUGCCUUGGUGAUGCAGUUUGGGCUGCAAAAGGUUUAGGCCCACUGGAUAAUAUCAGCACAGAUGAGGAAUCAGAUCUUGUGUGUGCGGCUGAGGAUGCGGAUGACGAAGAGGAUGAUGAGUGGUAGUUUUUAGACUUUUGUAUGUGUUGAAGUUUGGGUUUGGAAAUGAGUUGUAGUUUUUACACUUUUGUAUGUUUUUAGACUUGUAUUAUAAGCUGGCUGUAAGAUGUUAUCUUUUUAAAAAAAUUAUUAGACAAA